AACGAACGCUGGCGGCGCGCCUAACACAUGCAAGUCGAACGAGAAUCCGGGGCAACCCGGUAGUAAAGUGGCAAACGGGUGAGGAAUACAUGGGUAACCUACCCUUGAGAAGGGAAUAACCCGCCGAAAGGUGAGCUAAUACCCUAUACGCUAUUCUUUUUUCGAAAAGGAUAGAAAGGCAGGUCGAGGACCUGCUACUCAAGGAGGGGCUCAUGUCCUAUCAGCUUGUUGGUGGGGUAACGGCCUACCAAGGCUACGACGGGUAGCUGGUCUGAGAGGAUGAUCAGCCACACUGGCACUGAGAUACGGGCCAGACUCCUACGGGUGGCUG
rnacentral:rRNA from 1 species